AUGCUAGCCAUGGCGGCCAUGGUCAUCGGCAACGUGCGCGCUUCGCAGUGCGGCUCCCAGGCUGGCGGGGCGACCUGCCCCAACUGCCUCUGCUGCAGCCGCUACGGCUGGUGCGGCUCCACUCCGGAAUACUGCGGUGAGGGCUGCCAAAGUCAGUGCUCUAGCUGCGGCGGCGGUGUCACGCCUGUCACACCCAACCCCGUUGGUGGUGGCGUGUCCUCCGUUAUCUCCCGCUCCCUAUUCAACCAAAUGCUACUCCACCGAAAUGACCCGGGAUGCCAUGCUAGGGGCUUCUAUACCUAUGAUGCCUUCGUCGCAGCCGCCGCCGCCUUUCCUGGCUUCGGCACCACAGGCGGCACCGCCACCCGGAAGCGCGAGGUGGCCGCCUUCCUAGCGCAAACCUCUCAUGAGACCACUGGCGAGUGGCCCACAGCCCCGAACGGGCCCACCUCCAACUAUUGCACCCCAAGCACGCAGUGGCCAUGUGCACUCGGAAAGAGCUACUAUGGCCGCGGGCCCAUCCAGCUAUCUCACAACUACAACUACGGGCAAGCAGGCCGGGCCAUCGGGGCCGACCUAUUGGGCAACCCAAACUUGGUGGCCACAAACCCGACUGUGUCGUUCAAAACUGCCAUCUGGUUUUGGAUGACGGCGCAACCACCCAAGCCCUCGAGCCAUCCAGUGAUCACCGGACAAUGGAAACCAUCGGCAGCAGACAGGGCCGCGGAGCGGGUACCCGGAUUUGGCGUGAUCACCAACAUUGUGAAUGGCGAGAUUGAGUGCGGGCACGGGCAUGAUAAUCGUGUUGCCGAUCGAAUUGGGUUCUAUAAACGCUACUGCAACAUCUUUGGUAUCGGCUACGGAGGCAACCUCGACUGCUACAAGCAGAGCCCCUUCGCUUAA
rnacentral:rRNA from 1 species